CAUCUCAGUUCUCACAGAGCCGUCUCCUUCCUUCCUACUUCCAACAGAAAAUUCCCAAUCUUCAAUCUUCCUUUACCAUAAGCCUUCUUCAUUUAAGAAGCAACGACAACAAGAAACCGUCUCCAUCUUCAUCUUUCCCAUAAACCAUCUCCAUCUUUCAGGCGUCUUCAUUUUAGCAACCACAACAAGGCCCCACACCUUCACCACCUCCCAUUAGUAAAACUGCAGGCAAAUCAGGGUCCAGUUCAAGCUCUUCUCUUAACUCAUCCUACAUAACAAGAAACAAAAGAAGCAGUCAGUUGAGCAAAUCAUCGUAGUAGAGCAUGUGUGAUGCAAAUGUGCGAUCACAAUUGUGCACCUUCAAAAGAACUGCAAAAGCAAAAGACGGUCAGAUGGGCAAGCCAAAAACACGGAUUUGAGAAUCUUCCAACCCAUUUAGUGCAACCCUCUUAGCUACCUCCUUUGAUGGGCAGUAGCAUCUAUUCCAAAAAAACCGGUUCAAACCGAACUAGAAAAAACAAAAAAAAACCCUAUAUAUUAAGGGAUUAGGUUUCCCGGUUUUUUCCAAAAAAACUGGAUUUAACCGAACCGGACCGGUUCGGUUUGAACCGGUUUCCGGUCCAGUUCGGUUGAUAUUCACCAAAAAUACUAAAAUUCGGUUCGGUUGGUUUUUUGAGUCUAAACCGAACCGAACCGAACCGUGAACACCCCUAAUGCCAACACAAAAUUAAAACUCUUUUUUAUUUUUUUAUUUUCAUGUUAGGAAAAGUAUUUUUUUUAAUCGGAUAUUUUCGGUUUCUUUUCUUUUUCUUAUAAACA